UCGGGGCAAGUCCAGGGACCGCAAGCCGCCAGAUGGCUGCAUUCUUUACGCGUAAACCAGACUGCGGGGAAACGAAAUCCACUCCUUCCUCCCGGGGACCUGGCUUCCUCCCCUACGAAGCCAGAUAAGAUCCAUCUCUAAACCAGGCCAGUUUGAGGUGCAUAGAGUGAUUGAAACCAGCCGGCUGACAGUGGGAAGCUUCGUGGAAAGGAUCCCGGUGCAGAGUUCUAUCCUCAACACCUUUGUGUAGGGCUUGGGCUUUCAGAAGAACCUGGUGUACCAGGCAGCCGAGAAGGAAGAGAGGCCGGUGGAGUGAAGGAGCGAAAAGUAUCUAGAAUAAUCUGCAAAACUCGUCCUCUCUUCCGCAAAGUCCCAGGCUGCAUCUCUGUGACCAGGUCUGGCUGGGAGGUCUGUCUUCUAUUACACUCAACGUCUGCCCUCUCUGGUUCCUACGUCUGACUUGUUUGCUCAGACUAACUUUGGUGUUCAUUAGGAAGUGUAUUUCCCCCUGCAUUGACAGCGGCUCCGUUGCUGGGAUGGAACGAGGAGGAACAUAGUAAUCUAACCUCUAAAGAAGGCUCCUCCGGGGAUUCUCAAGUCUCUUGACUCAGAAAAAGGGCAGGCAUGAAUGAUCGUAGGUAGAAGCACAUUUAUGAGGGCAUAUACCCACGUAGAAUUCUGUGUGGCUGUGAAAAUGAAAGACGGGUAGAUCUAUAGGUACCUAUAUGGAGGAAUGUGUAUAACAUAUUGAUGACUACAAAAUAAAUCAAGUUGCAAAAUUA